rnacentral:lncRNA from 1 species
AUGUCCAGAACCAGGACCUACAAAGUGUCCGCAUCGGUGUGCGUGGAGCAGAUUGAGUCAGAGCUGGCCGCUCAGUUGGAUGCACUUCGAACAGAAAUCGCAGAGAACGUAUUUCUUCAGGGAACUACUACAAAAUCAUACUGCUCCGUUCUGAUUCCCAAAGACAUUUCUUAUUUCCGCGUGGAGAGAGAACAUAGUCUUAAAAGACUCCUGCAGGUCCCUGCUGCACGACCUCAGGUGUCACAGACUGAGAUCAUUCAGCAUGAGCUGGAGAGCUGUAUCAAUCGGGAAUACACACCUGAGAGUCUUCCUCUUCUGCUGCACCAGCACUACUUGGACCGCUCCCAUCAGUUGACUCAAUGCAAGCACCUGCUAAUGUUGAGGUGGAGGAGAUUCUUUCGCCACUCCACAGUAUUAGAACUACUGUAUCCUUUGUACAAGGGGCAGAUGGACUUGCUAGUGCAGGAAUAUGAAGAUGCAGUGCAGCGAGCACACAGGCUGGCCGUGUCCAGAGAGAGACUCCUGACACGCAGAGUGGGCCCUAACAUCGCACUCUCUCAGGAAGAUGUGGCCAUUUACCUCCAGUGGCUGGUGACCCACCUGCAUUCCCUGAAAUCUAUCCACAGCUUUCUUCAGGUGCAGACAUCCACACAUUACUGCAAAUAA